rnacentral:tRNA from 2 species
GGACCGCUAACUCAAUUGGCAGAGUGAUGCCCUUACAAGGCAUUGGUUACUGGUUCGAGUCCAGUGCGGUCCA